CAAAUACUCCCUCCGUCCGGAAAUACUAGUCAUCAAAAUGGAUAAAAGGAGAUGUAUCUAGACGUAUUUUAGUUUUAGAUACAUCUCUUUUUAUCCAUUUUGAUGACAAGUAUUUUCGGACGGAGGGAGUAGAAA
rnacentral:pre_miRNA from 1 species